ACCUACUAGCCUAACACAUAACACACAGCUAGCUGGUCGCUACAGUUUACUGUAUUCUAUUCUACUGUAUUUUAGUCAAUGCCACUCUGACAUUGCUCGUCCUAAUAUUUAUAUAUUUCCUAAUUCCAUUAUUUUACUUUAGAUGUGUGUGUAUUGCUGUGAAUUGUUAGAUACUACUGCACUGCGGGAGCUAGGAACACAAGCAUUUCGCUACACCCACAGUAACAUCUGCUAAAUAUGUGUAUGUGACCAAAACAAUUUGAUGGUCCUAAAGCACACUGGUGCUGCGUUGUGUAUCACAGUGCAAUGAUAAAACACAUUUGUUGCAGCUUGGAAAUUGAAACUUAAUGUCCCAGAAAUCUUAGCGUAACCAUCAAAAACAUAACUGGCUACACCGUGUUGUAUAAGGAAGGACACAUAAAUCGGCGUCCAUGCGCAUGAAGGCAUAACAGCUAGCUAGCUAACCUGAAAAAUGUCCUCCAUGUCUGCUGCCAGCGUCGGGCCAUUGAGGGCCAUUGAGGGCACAGAGAAGAAACCACUGAAACCCUGUUGUGCGUGCCCCGAGACGAAGAAAGUCAGGGAUGUUUGCAUCAUUGAGAAGGGUGAAGAAAGUUGCACAGAUCUCAUCGAGGCACAUAAGGAUUGUAUGAGGGCGCUUGGAUUCAAGAUUUAAUAUAACUCCAUAUAAUAAGUGGUCGGAAUUGUGUACAGAUCCUUGCGAAAUGAGGGUGUGCAUUAUCAUGCUGAAACAUGAGUGUGCCGUUGGUGGCCGGCUGUCCGGAAGGAGACCUGGGAUAUUUCUUGUUUGUAUUUAUACUGCAACCUGAAUGGAAGAUGUGCUGCAAGGAUGGUGUUCCACUGAGUGAAAUGUGUUGUCUUAAUGCUCAGAUUUUCUGAAUGAUGUGAAUCUUGUUCUGCUGAUUUAGAAUUAAAUAUAUGUCCUAUGCAAAA